AACUUUGAGAAUUUCUCGAAAGAAAUAAUGUUUUACAUGCAAGAUAAACAUUAAUUUGAUCUGGUUAUUUCACCAUUAAAUGUUUUAAAGAUUGACCAAAUCAGUAAACUAAAGGAUCAUGUAAAUGUUUCAAUUAUGAAAGCUGUUCAAGUUGAUGAAUCGAAGGAUACAAUGUGUAGUUUGGGAGAGUCAUUGUAUACGGACAGCAAUCAAUUGGAGAACAUGAAAGUUUUUGAAUUUUUAUUAUAAUCGACGAAAUAUACAGACAAUUUAAAAGCGAUAGUUGUGGACGAAGCCCAAUCUUGUUACUGAAUGGUGAGUGAGUGAUACUGAUAUAUUUGGUUGUUUCUCAAUAUUCUUUCUUUGCUAUAUUAUCUGCAAGACUGCACACAUACAGACAACAUAUAUUCUGUUUAAUACGUCUGGUCUAAACACUGCAUUUUACAUGUGUCAAGUCUAGAAAAGUUUGUUGAACCUUGUAAGUGCUACCAAAUUAUUUUACUCAGCUUAACAUGCCAGAUGAUUGAGUG